rnacentral:rRNA from 1 species
AUUGAACGCUGGCGGCAGGCCUAACACAUGCAAGUCGAACGGUAACAGGAAACAGCUUGCUGUUUCGCUGACGAGUGGCGGACGGGUGAGUAAUGUCUGGGAAACUGCCUGAUGGAGGGGGAUAACUACUGGAAACGGUAGCUAAUACCGCAUAACGUCGCAAGACCAAAGAGGGGGACCUUCGGGCCUCUUGCCAUCGGAUGUGCCCAGAUGGGAUUAGCUAGUGGGUGGGGUAACGGCUCACCUAGGCGACGAUCCCUAGCUGGUCUGAGAGGAUGACCAGCCACACUGGAACUGAGACACGGUCCAGACUCCUACGGGAGGCAGCAGUGGGGAAUAUUGCACAAUGGGCGCAAGCCUGAUGCAGCCAUGCCGCGUGUAUGAAGAAGGCCUUCGGGUUGUAAAGUACUUUCAGCGGGGAGGAAGGGAGUAAAGUUAAUACCUUUGCUCAUUGACGCUACCCGCAGAAGAAGCACCGGCUAACUCCGUG